GAUGAACGCUAGCGGCAGGCUUAACACAUGCAAGUCGAGGGGUAUAGUAGCAAUACUAGAGACCGGCAAACGGGUGCGGAACACGUACAGAACCUACCUUGGUCUGGGGCAUAGCCCGAAGAAAUUCGGAUUAACACCCCAUAAUAUAGAUGAGUGGCAUCACUCGACUAUUAAAAUUAUUGGAUCAAGAUGGCUGUGCGUCCCAUUAGCUAGUUGGUAGGGUAACGGCCACCAAGGCGACGAUGGGUAGCUGGUGUGAGAGCACGACCAGCCACACGGGCACUGAGACACGGGCCCGACUCCUACGGGAGGCAGCAGUGAGGAAUAUUGGUCAAUGGACGCAAGUCUGAACCAGCCAUGCCGCGUGAAGGAUGAAGGCCUUCUGGGUUGU
rnacentral:rRNA from 1 species